rnacentral:rRNA from 1 species
GAUGAACGCUGGCGGCGUGCCUAAUACAUGCAAGUCGAGCGAACAGACGAGGAGCUUGCUCCUCUGACGUUAGCGGCGGACGGGUGAGUAACACGUGGAUAACCUACCUAUAAGACUGGGAUAACUUCGGGAAACCGGAGCUAAUACCGGAUAAUAUAUUGAACCGCAUGGUUCAAUAGUGAAAGACGGUUUUACUGUCACUUAUAGAUGGAUCCGCGCCGCAUUAGCUAGUUGGUAAGGUAACGGCUUACCAAGGCAACGAUGCGUAGCCGACCUGAGAGGGUGAUCGGCCAACCGUGAACUGAGCACCGGUCCAGACUCCUAAGGGAGGCAGGAGUAGGGAAUCUUCCGCAAUGGGCGAAAGCUUGACGGAGCAACGCCGCGUGAGUGAUGAAGGUCUUCGGAUCGUAAAACUCUGUUAUUAGGGAAAAACAAAUGUGUAAGUAACUAGGCACGUCUUGACGGUACCUAAUCAGAAAGCCACGGCUAACUACGUU